rnacentral:rRNA from 1 species
UACGUAGGGGGCGAGCGUUGUCCGGAGUUACUGGGCGUAAAGGGCGCGCAGGCGGUCUGGUAAGUUUGGAGUGACAGUGCUCGGCUUAACUGAGCAAGGCCUUCGAAAACUGCUAGACUUGAGCACUCAAGAGGGACAUAGAAUUCCGGGUGGAGUGGUGAAAUUCGUAGAUAUUGGGAAGAACACCGGUGGCGAAGGCGGCUCACUGGCUCAUAUCUGACGCUCAGGCGCGACAGCGUGGGGAUCAAACAGG